CGUAGGGCGCGAGCGUUGUCCGGAUUUAUUGGGCGUAAAGAGCUCGUAGGCGGCUCGUUGCGUCCAUCGUGAAAACUCAGGGCUUAACUCUGAGCUUGCGGUGGAUACGGGCGGGCUAGAGUUCGGUAGGGGAGACUGGAAUUCCUGGUGUAGCGGUGAAAUGCGCAGAUAUCAGGAGGAACACCGGUGGCGAAGGCGGGUCUCUGGGCCGAUACUGACGCUGAGGAGCGAAAGCGUGGGGAGCGAACAGGAUUAGAUACCCUGGUAGUCCACGCUGUAAACGUUGGGCGCUAGGUGUGGGGGGCCUCUCCGGUUCCCUGUGCCGCAGCUAACGCAUUAAGCGCCCGCCUGGGGAGUACGGCCGCAAGGCUA
rnacentral:rRNA from 1 species